rnacentral:lncRNA from 1 species
GCCAAGCAAGGAAGAGAGAGAAAGAGAGGAAGAACAAAGGGAAAAACUAGAAAACCUAGGUGAAAAUUCAAAGAAAAAGUGAAGAAAUCAAGGAAACAAGCUAGGUAAGUUAGAAUUUCUCUAGUUCUCCUUGAUACCUAGCUUACCCAUGCUUUUGUUCUUGAUUUCCAUGGUUCAAUAUUGAGUUAUUAUGAUGAAUUCAAUUCUGAAAAAAUGGGUUAGGAGAGAGAAAAUUGUUAGAUUAAUUUGAUUUUAAGUUAGGUUAGUGUUUUAAGUUAGUUUAGCAUAUUUAGAAACAAAACAACAAGAAAAGAAUUUAUUUUCUCCCACAACCCUUAAUGGUCGAAUUUACCAUGUGUUGAUUGAGGAUGAAUUUGAUUUUCAUUCUAGGAGAAUUGGUUAAGAAGUGAUGAAUUAUGAGCCUAGAAAAAUAAUGGAAAUUUUCAGAGCAAAAAUACGAAUUUUUACCCACUAGGGGUAUUUUCGUAGUUUGCUACCAAGACUGAUGAAUUGAAUUUCAUUCACAGUCAUUAGGGUAAUUUAGGUAUAAUUGGAGUGUAGAAAGUGAGAAGAAUUGAUUUGGAGUUAAAUUGGAGAUAAUAGGCUGAAUUAGGUCAGCACCACAUUUAAACGGUAGUCUGAUAAGUUGUAUAUCAUAUCAUGAAUAUAUACCGAGCUUGAAUUGAUUUUAUAAUGGUCAAGCAUUGAUGUGAUGAAUUAUGUAUUGUACAUUGUGGAUAGGUGGUGAGCAAAGUACACUGGUAAAAGUACAGAAAUUGUGCUUGGAGAUUGGGAUUAGGAGUACAUCGACUCCUAGAACAGUGAGUGAACUUAUUAUCAUCUUAAUUAUCUAGAGUAGUUUUAUACAAUUGUGUGAUUUUAUGAAAAAUGGGUUUAAAUGGUAAAUUUCUAUGUUUUAAGAGAAAUUGUGAUUUUAUAAAUUUUCUGAAAAAUUGAAUACUGGUUUUGAAAUAGAGUAAUUGGAGACUGCUUGCUUGUGUUGCAAAUUUAUGGUUUUGAAUUGAAUGGCUUAUGACAAUAAAUGAGCAUGAAUGGCUAAACUAAUUUUGGUGUUAGAAUUAUUUAUACUGUGUAUUUAGCCUUGAGAGGCUAGGUUACGAUAAAUUGCCAUGUCAUGCUAGAAUGAAUUUUAUUGAUUGGUGGAUUAUAUAUUAAUUAUUCAAUGCAGAGAGGGUUCCAUGGACCAGCCUAUUAGAGGGGCAUGGUAAACUCCAUUAUAUUCUUACCUCGAAUGGAGAGGCGCGUAAGGUAUCUCCUGGGAUAAAGCUUAGGGUUCACUUCACGCCAAACCACCACGUGAAGGGGAACUCAGCCAACGCCAAGGAACAGCUGUAUUUUUCUCAAACUAAAAAUAUAUUUUAAGUGUAUACAAAAAUUUUAACAGCCUUGGCGGACUUGGUUGGAUGCCCUGCGCAAGGUAUCACCAAGCAUGAGUUUUGGCACGAGCCAAAGUUUUAAGAAAUUCAUAAGCCAAGUUGAUUACUCGAUUUUUAUGGAUUGAUUUUAUUUGGUUGAAAUGAGUUGAAAGGUAAUGAAAUUACAGUAUGAUGAUUUAUUUUAAUUGUCUCCAUUUACUCGACUUUAAAUAGUUUAGAUGAUAUCUGUUUACUCACUGGGAUUUUAUAAUCUCACCACCCUCAUUUCCUCACAUUUCAGGCUCGGGGAAUUCCAUAGUUAGCUGACUUUGACAAGGACUUUAAUUUGGACUUGAAUCGGU